CGAACGCUGGCGGCGUGCUUAACACAUGCAAGUCGAACGAGACGAUUGAAAGCUUGCUUUGAAAGUCGAGUGGCAAACGGGUGAGUAACGCGUAGGCAACCUGCCUCUAGGAUGGGGACAACAGUCCGAAAGGACUGCUAAUACCGAAUGUUGUAGAGUUUCCGCAUGGGGAUCCUACUAAAGGUGGCCUCUACUUGUAAGCUAUCGCUUUACGAUGGGUCUGCGUCUGAUUAGCUAGUUGGUGGGGUAACGGCCUACCAAGGCGACGAUCAGUAGCCGGUCUGAGAGGAUGAACGGCCACAUUGGAACUGAGACACGGUCCAGACUCCUACGGGAGGCAGCAGUGGGGAAUCUUCCGCAAUGGGCGCAAGCCUGACGGAGCAACGCCGCGUGAGUGAAGAAGGGUUUCGACUCGUAAAGCUCUGUUGUCGGGGACGAAUGUCAGGACUCAGAAUAUGGGUUCUGAAUGACGGUACCUGACGAGGAAGCCACGGCUAACUACGUG
rnacentral:rRNA from 1 species